UUAGAAUAACCCGAAACUCCGUCGUUCUACUCACUCGUAUGUUCGAUCUCGACCGGUUCGUGUCAUCAGACUACACACCGUUUCUUUCCUUCAUACUAAUCUUCGAAAUUUCAAAAACACAUCUACAGUCAUGGAGAUUGCUAAAGCAAACGAUGCAGCAAGUAGCCUGGUCGAGCAAUCGUUGAACGUUGAAUCGGCAUUGAAGUCUGUGAAAUCGUCGCAGAGCACGCAGAGCGUACAAACCAAAUCCGUAAUCGAGUCGUCGACUUCCAUUAAAUCGGUGACCACAUCGUCGAGCAGGUCACAACGAUCGAUGGAGUACGAGGAGUCUGUUGAAUACACAGAUGAAUAAUAAUCAUCACGCGGCGAUAUCCUAGAGUCCCAGGAAAAUCAAGUGGGCAAGCACCGCGAACGUGGUCGAGACUAAAGCACGGUUUGUUAAAUUAUUCAAUCGACUAGUUAGUACAAUCUAUUGGAUAGAAAAUGAAGACGAAAUUCCUUCGUUAUCGAAUGUCAUAUCAUAAUAAUAAUUUUCGAUAUUGUAUAUAGAUAUUCGUUAAUUUUAAUGAAAUUUUUAUCGUACUAACGAGAAGUCAUUUCCUUCGAUUCAAUUUUUAUAUAUAUAUAAAAUAUCUUCAUUAUAUUAAAUGUUAUUUGCGAAUAACACGAGCAAGAGGACAACAACAAAAAAAGUAAUAGAAGAUCAUGAACGAGAAUCAAUGUGGAGUUCUUAUUGGAAGGAAAAAUCGAGUUUUUUACUGAACGACGACGGGUCAAGGAUAGAGAAUUGGGAAUGCCAAUCGCAAUUGAAGACGUCUACGCUUAAUAAAAAGACAAGAAAAAGAAGAUAAAGAAGAAGAAGAAGAAAAAGAAAAAGACGAAUAUACUGAAGAACAUUUAGAAGUCUCGACUACGAUUUUGGCUCCACUCCAAACGCCGUGGUUCGCCGCCAAAUAGCAAAGAGCCCCGUUCCUUUUUCUUUUUACCUUUUUCUUUUUACCUUUUUCUUUUUACCUUUUUCUUACCCGUCUUUUAACCGAGUAUUGGACACUCACCUCCCCCUUCUCCUUAACCCAAUCCUUUUCGUGCAAAUAUUCCGUCAUUGUCAUGUCUCGACACAUCCGAUUUUCAUCUCGAUGCAUUAAUUAAUCUUUGUAUAAUAAAAUUUUUCAAACAAAUACGUACAAACGCAAA